CCUACGGGAGGCAGCAGUGGGGAAUAUUGCACAAUGGGGGGAACCCUGAUGCAGCGACGCCGCGUGGGUGAAGGAGUAUUUCGGUAUGUAAAGCUCUAUCAGCAGGGAAGAACAAUGACGGUACCUGACUAAGAAGCACCGGCUAAAUACGUGCCAGCAGCCGCGGUAAUACGUAUGGUGCAAGCGUUAUCCGGAUUUACUGGGUGUAAAGGGAGCGCAGGCGGCGCGUUAAGCCUGGUGUGAAAGUCCGCGGCCCAACCGCGGGACUGCAUUGGGACCUGGCGCGCUGGAGUGCCGGAGGGGUAGGCGGAAUUCCUAGUGUAGCGGUGAAAUGCGUAGAUAUUAGGAGUAACACCAGUGGCGAAGGCGGCCUACUGGACGGUGACUGACGCUGAGGCUCGAAAGCGUGGGGAGCAAACAGGAUUAGAUACCCUGGUAGUC
rnacentral:rRNA from 1 species